rnacentral:rRNA from 1 species
AGAGAUAGGACUUUCCCUUCGGGGACAAAAUGACAGGUGGUGCAUGGUUGUCGUCAGCUCGUGUCGUGAGAUGUUGGGUUAAGUCCCGCAACGAGCGCAACCCUUAUUGUUAGUUGCCAGCAUUAAGUUGGGCACUCUAGCAAGACUGCCGGUGACAAACCGGAGGAAGGUGGGGAUGACGUCAAAUCAUCAUGCCCCUUAUGACCUGGGCUACACACGUGCUACAAUGGACGGUACAACGAGUCGCAAGACCGCGAGGUUUAGCAAAUCUCUUAAAGCCGUUCUCAGUUCGGAUUGUAGGCUGCAACUCGCCUACAUGAAGUCGGAAUCGCUAGUAAUCGCGGAUCAGCAUGCCGCGGUGAAUACGUUCCCGGGCCUUGUACACACCGCCCGUCACACCAUGAGAGUUUGUAACACCCAAAGCCGGUGGGGUAACCUUUUGGAGCCAGCCGUCUAAGGUGGGAUAGAUGAUUAGGGUGAAGUCGUAACAAGGUAGCCGUAGGAGAACCUGCG